UUGGACUUUCCAUUCUGCUGGUUACUUAACAACUUUACAAUAUCCUCUUCAUCAUCAUCGUUUCCUUCUCCACUUUCUCUUCUUGCCACCUUUUUCAUUCAAUUUCUGCAAAACUCGAUUGUGUCAAUCCAACUAUAUACCGAUUAAACCCUUGAUAGAUAUUGAAAUGAAAACCAAGUUAGGGUGAACAUAUAUUACCGAGUUGAACAUAUAUAGAUCACAUAACCUUCCUUCAUCUUCUCCGGCGAAACCGAUCCCCCCGGGGAAGCUUCGUUUGGAUCUACGACGAGCCAACGAGUGACAUGGAUUCGUG
rnacentral:lncRNA from 1 species